AGAGUUGAUCAUGGCUCAGAACGAACGCUGGCGGCGCGUUUAAGCAUGCAAGUCGAGCGGCAAGGGCCUUCGGGCCCCUAGAGCGGCGGACGGGUGAGUAACACGUGGACAAUCUGCCCCCCGGCCCGGGAUAGCCCAGGGAAACCUGGAUUAAUACCGGAUGAGACGGGACCCGCGAUGGCGGGAUCCGGGAAAGGCGCUGCGGCGCCGCCGGGGGAUGAGUCUGCGUCCCAUUAGCUAGACGGCGGGUAACGGCCCACCGUGGCGACGAUGGGUAGCCGGCCUGAGAGGGUGGACGGCCACAUUGGAACUGAGACACGGUCCAGACUCCUACGGGAGGCAGCAGCUAAGAAUCUUCCGCAAUGGGCGAAAGCCUGGCGGAGCGACGCCGCGUGAACGAAGAAGGCCGUGAGGUUGUAAAGUUCUUUUCGGGAGGGGGAACAACCGUGGCAGGGAAUGGCCGCGGGAUGACGUGAAUCCUGGAAUAAGCCCCGGCUAACUACGUGCCAGCAGCAGC
rnacentral:rRNA from 1 species